rnacentral:rRNA from 1 species
UACGUAGGGGGCUAGCGUUGUCCGGAUUUAUUGGGCGUAAAGAGCGUGUAGGCGGCCAGGUAGGUCAGCUGUGAAAACUCGAGGCUCAACCUCGAGACGUCGGUUGAAACCACCUGGCUAGAGUCCGGAAGAGGAGAGUGGAAUUCUCGGUGUAGCGGUGAAAUGCGCAGAUAUCGGGAGGAACACCAGUAGCGAAGGCGGCUCGCUGGGCCAUUCCUGACGCUGAGACGCGAAAGCUAGGGGAGCGAACAGG